UACGUAGGGGGCAAGCGUUAUCCGGAUUUACUGGGUGUAAAGGGAGCGUAGACGGCAUGGCAAGUCAGAUGUGAAAGCCCGGGGCUCAACCCCGGGACUGCAUUUGAAACUGUCAGGCUGGAGUGCAGGAGAGGUAAGCGGAAUUCCUAGUGUAGCGGUGAAAUGCAUAGAUAUUAGGAGGAACACCAGUGGCGAAGGCGGCUUACUGGACUGUAACUGACGUUGAGGCUCGAAAGCGUGGGGAGCAAACAGG
rnacentral:rRNA from 1 species